rnacentral:lncRNA from 1 species
AAAGGACUUAUAUGAAGAUAAGAUGGCAAAAAAGUAGAAGGAAAAUUAAACAUAUUCAUGCAGUCUAGCUUUA